rnacentral:rRNA from 1 species
UACGGGGGGGGUAAGCGUUGUUCGGAAUUACUGGGCGUAAAGGGCUCGUAGACGGCCAACUAAGUCAGACGUGAAAUCCCUCAGCUUAACUGGGGAACUGCGUCUGAUACUGGAUGGCUUGGAUUCGGGAGAGGAAUGCGGAAUUCCAGGUGUAGCGGUGAAAUGCGUAGAUAUCUGGAGGAACACCGGUGGCGAAGGCGGCAUCCUGGACCACGACUGACACUGAAAAGCGAAAGCCAGGGGAGCAAACGGG